rnacentral:rRNA from 1 species
ACGUAGGGUGCGAGCGUUAAUCGGAAUUACUGGGCGUAAAGCGUGCGCAGGCGGUUCGUUGUGUCGGUGGUGAAAGCCCCGGGCUUAACCUGGGAAUGGCCAUCGAAACUGGCGGACUGGAGUGUGGCAGAGGGGGGUGGAAUUCCGCGUGUAGCAGUGAAAUGCGUAGAGAUGCGGAGGAACACCGAUGGCGAAGGCAGCCCCCUGGGCUGACACUGACGCUCAGGCACGAAAGCGUGGGGAGCAAACAGGAUUAGAUACCCUGGUAGUCCACGCCCUAAACGAUGUCAACUAGGUGUUCGGGAAGUGAUUUCUGGGUACCGUAGCUAACGCGUGAAGUUGACCGCCUGGGGAGUACGGCCGCAAGGUUA